CCUACGGGUGGCAGCAGUGAGGAAUAUUGGUCAAUGGACGCGAGUCUGACCCAGCCAAGUAGCGUGAAGGAUGACUGCCCUAUGGGUUGUAAACUUCUUUUAUAAAGGAAUAAAACGAGGCACGUGUGCCUUUUUGCAUGUACUUUAUCAAUAAGGAUCGGCUAACUCCGUGCCAGCAGCCGCGGUAAUACGGAGGAUCCGAGCGUUAUCCGGAUUUAGUGGGUUUAAAGGGAGCGUAGGUGGGUUGUUAAGUCAGUGGUGAAAGUUUGGGGCUCAACCAUAAAAUUGCAAUUGAUACUGGCAGUCUUGAGUGCAGUUGAGGUAGGCGGAAUUCGUGGUGUAGCGGUGGAAUGCUUAGAUAUCACGAAGAACCCCGAGUGCGAAGGCAGCUUACUAGACUGUGACUGACAUUGAGGCUCGAAAGUGUGGGUAUCAAACAGGAUUAGAUACCCCAGUAGUC
rnacentral:rRNA from 1 species